GAAAAGUAGUGCGAAAUUGAAUUUUUAAUUUGAAUUCACUACUUCCCAUUAACCGAAAAAUCGGACUUUAUUGAUAUAAGAAAGUUUUUAUAUAAAUGUUAUAAAAACUUAAUUAACUUAGUGAAUUGAAUCAUCUUAGUAACUAAUUUACAAAUCAACCGAGAUACUGUAAGUAGUGGCGAACGAAAACAGAUAUAGGCUAUACAUUUUUAAUAAUCUUAUUUAAGCCAUCCAAAGAAGGUGUGUCUAAAACUGAAGAGUCCUGUGAAAUAAGUGCAAAAUGUUUUAAGUAAAGCAUUACAAGUCAUGUAUUGUUUGAAGAAUGGGGUCCCAUCCUCUAAGCCUUGAAAAGUCUGGCAACUAAUAGUGUAAAGUACCGUGAGGGAAAAGUGAAAAAAAAAUUGCGAAAAUGAAAAUUUUUUGAAAUUUAAUGUCAAAUAAUUGUUAGAGCUUAGUAAAUCAAAAGUAAUAACGUACCUUUUGCAUAAUGGAUCAACAAGUUUAUUAUAAUGGCGAGCUUAAAUGAAUAGCAUAAAAGCGAAAAUCAACUGAGGUUUAAAAUACAAUUUAGUCGUUAUAAUAAAACCCGAAACUAAGUGAUCUAACCAUGAACAGGUUGAAACUAUGGCGGCAACGCAUUGUGAAGGACUGAACUCGUGUAUGUGGAAAAAUACUGAGACGAUUUGUGGUUAGGGGUGAAAGGCCAAUCAAACUUAGUGAUAGCUGGUUUUCUGCGAAAUCUAUUUAAGUAGAGCGUUUAUUUUUACUUGAUAAGUGGUAGAGCUCUCAUUAAUUGAUGGGGAUUUAACGUUCUACUGAACUUAAAGAAACUUCGAAUACUUAAUUAUAAAGAAUGUAAACAGACAGACUUUGUGUGCUAAGAUACAAAGUCAAGAGGGAAACAGCCCAGAUUAUUAGUUAAGGCCCUAAAAAAUAGCUUAGUGAAAAAAACAUUAAAAAAUAUUUACAGUCGAAAGGUAGUCUUAGAAGCAGCCAUCCUUUAAAGAAAGCGUAACAGCUCAUUGGUCUAGUUUUUUAAUGUUGAAAAUGUAAAGGGGCUAAAGUUAUUUGCCGAAACUAUAAAUUUUAAUAUAUUGAAAUAGUAGCAGAACACUCUGUAAAUUUAUGAAUAUUUAUAGUGAUAUAAAUUGGAAAAAUCAGAGAUGAUAAUGUUGAUAUGAGUAACGAUAAACAGUGUAGAACACUGUCACUUUAAGUUCAAGGGUUUCAAAACAAGGUUAAUCCAUUUUGACAAUAAUUCGGUCUCUAAGAAGAAAACGAAAGUUUUCGUUUAAUGAGUAAAUAGCCUAAAAUCUAUUAAUUUCUAGUAAUGACAGAAUAUGAGUAUCAUUUAAAUUUUAUAGUUAAAUUUAAGUCUUUUAGUAUUUUCAAGAAAAAGUUCUAGAAAAAAAACCGUACCCUAAACCGACACAGGUGAACUGAUUUAGUAAAUUAAAGUGCUUGAGAGAAUUACAUUGAAGGAACUCGGCAAAAUCACUCUGUAACUUCUGGAGAAAGAGUGGCUUUUAAUGGGAAACCAUCAUUAGCUGACACAAAAUCGGGGGCAGCGACUGUUUACUAAAAACACAGGUUUCUGCUAAUUUGUAAAAAGAUGUAUUGAAACUGACGCCUGCCCAGUGCUGGAAGAUUAACAGUAAAAGUCACAAGGCUUGAACUUAAAGUCCCAGUAAACGGCGGCUGUAACUUUGACGGUCCUAAGGUAGCGAAAUUCCUUGGCAUUUAAUUGGUGUCCUGCAUGAAUGGCGUAACGACUGCCCUACUGUCUCCAAUGUAAACUCAGUGAAAUUAAAAUUUCUGUGAAGAUGCAGAAUUCUCGUGGCUAGACGGAAAGACCCUGUGCACCUUUACUAUUAGUAUGUACUGUAAUUAAAUUUUUUUUGUAUAGAAUAAGUGGUAAGUUGAUUUAAGAUUGUACUUACGCUAGUAAGUGACAUAAGCAUCGUUGAAAUACCACUCUAAAGACUUUUUAUUACUUAUCUUCGAGACACUGCAUAAUAGAUAGUUUGACUGGGGCGGUCACCUCCUAAAGAGUAACGGAGGUGUAUAUAAGGUAAACUUAAGUUGAUUUCAAACCUCUUUAAAACAUAAUAGUAGAUGUUUGCCUGACUGUAAGAUUGACAAAUCAAGCAGGGACGAAAGUCGAUUAUAGUGAUCCGGUGGUUCUGAAUGGAAAAGUCCAUCGCUCAACGAAUAAAAGGUACGCCAGGGAUAACAGGCUAAUCACCCUCUAGAGACCUUAUCGACGGGGUGGUUUGGCACCUCGAUGUUGGAUUAUCGCAUCCUGGAGCUGCAAGUGGUUCCAAGGGUUUGGCUGUUCGCCAAUGAAGGCGGUACAUGAUCUGAGUUUAGAACGUCGUGAGACAGUUUGGUCCCUAUCUACCAUGAGUGUAUAAAAUUGAGAGGAGUAAACCUUAGUACGAGAGGACUGGGAAAAUUGAAUCUAUGGUGGAUCGGUUGUUAGACUUAUAGCAUCGCCGAGUAGCUACAUUCAUCUUAAAUAAUCACUGAAUGCAUUUAAGUGAGAAAUUAUCCUUAAUAUUAAUUUUGUAAGAAAUGUAAAAGAUUAUUACAUUGAUAGGUUUGGUGUGUAAGAGCUGUAAAGUUCUUAGCUUACAAAUACUAAA
rnacentral:rRNA from 12 species